UACGGCCACAUCACGUUGAAACACCGGUUCUUGUACGAUCACCGAAGUUAAGCAAUUUUGAGCCUGAACAAUACCUAGAUGAUUGACCGCUUGGAAAUACCAGCUGCUGUAA